rnacentral:rRNA from 1 species
AACGAACGCUGGCGGCAUGCCUAACGCAUGCAAGUCGAACGAGAUCUUCGGAUCUAGUGGCGCACGGGUGCGUAACGCGUGGGAAUCUGCCCCUUGCUUCGGAAUAACAGUGAGAAAUUACUGCUAAUACCGGAUGAUGUCUCCGGACCAAAGAUUUAUCGGCAAGGGAUGAGCCCGCGUAGGAUUAGGUAGUUGGUGGGGUAAUGGCCUACCAAGCCGACGAUCCUUAGCUGGUCUGAGAGGAUGAUCAGCCACACUGGGACUGAGACACGGCCCAGACUCCUACGGGAGGCAGCAGUGGGGAAUAUUGGACAAUGGGCGAAAGCCUGAUCCAGCAAUGCCGCGUGAGUGAUGAAGGCCUUAGGGUUGUAAAGCUCUUUUACCAGGGAUGAUAAUGACAGUACCUGGAGAAUAAGCUCCGGCUAACUCCGUG